GGCGUAGGUGGCCUGCCAAGUCGGAUGUGAAAUCUCCCGGCUUAACUGGGAGGGUGCGUUCGAUACUGGCAAGCUAGAGUGCAGUAGAGGAAAGCGGAAUUCCCGGUGUAGUGGUGAAAUGCGUAGAUAUCGGGAAGAAUACUAGUGGCGAAGGCGGCUUUCUGGGCUGUAACUGACGCUGAGGUCCGAAGGCGUGGGGAGCGAACA
rnacentral:rRNA from 1 species